CGGAAGCUCUUUCUUCGCCGGCGAAGUUUGGGACCUUGUCGAAGAAGACAACUACUGAUCUGUGACGAUGUCUAUGCAAGCCGGCAUCGGAUUAUCGAAGAUUUUGGUUUUAGCGGGAGCAGGUUAUACAGGUACGAUUUUGGUCAAGAAUGGCAAAUUGUCGGAGAUUAUCGGUGAGCUACAGGCUCUGGUGAAGCGAAUUGAAAAAUCUGGGGAGCAUUCUGAUGGAGAUUCUGAUGCCUCUGAUGCGAUGCACCGGCUAGCAAUGGAAGUCCGGCAGCUGGCCUCGGCACGACAGAUAACCGUUCUGAAUGCAACUCCCGGUGCUGACUUUACCCCCUUCAUAAUCCCAGCAGCGACAUUGGGAGUCGUGGGCUAUGGCUACAUGUGGUUCAAGGGAAUUUCCUUCUCUGACAUCAUGUGCAUAACAAAGCGUAACAUGGAAAAUGCUGUAUCAAACUUGACAAAGCAUUUGGAAAGCAUCUCAGAGACUCUUUCAUCUGCUAAGAAGCACUUGGCACAGCGACUUAAGAAAGUGGAUGAUAAGGUGGACUUGCAGAAGAAGCUCUCCAAGGAGAUCCAAGAGAAUGUGAAUUUGGCUCUUGAGGAUCUUAUUAAAAUUGGAGGAGAUUUUGAGGCAAUGCAUGACAUACUUGAAGGCGUGGAUGGCAAACUAGAUACAUUGGAGUACAAGCAGGAUAUUGCAAAUAUGGGAUUGAUGUAUUUAUGCAACUCUAUGGGUAGAAAAAAUGUUAGGAUGCCUGAAUUUCUAAUGGAGGGGAAGCUCCAAGUUUCUGGGAACUCAAAGACACGUUUACUUACUAACGCAGAAACUUCUUCUCCAAAGGGGUUAAUCGAGAUUUAUCAGCCAGGAACGGCUACUGAACCACGAUGCACAGUUACGGAUUUGAGUGGCAGCUAUGAUUUCGUUGGCAAGCUCGAAUCUUCUGCAUCAAGGCCGAGUCACAGCCCCGACCGCCGACUUUUUUCUUAAGUGACAACAGUGGAACACAUAAUAAAGGCCAGACGGUAUAGACGAAACGCAACUCUUUUGAAGAUUAGUUCUCUUGUUUCUAAAGUGGAAGGAAAAAAGAGGGAACCUACUCUAAUGAUAGUCGGUACUCUGCAUUAUUCACUCAUGAUCAUGAACACCAUUCACAGAAAGAAGACUACCUUUGUUUCUUUGUAUCUCUUUUUUUUUUUUCAGUUACAACAUGUAAAACAGUGACAAAACCAGUUAUGAACCGAACUUGCGUUGAA